rnacentral:rRNA from 1 species
GAUGAACGCUGGCGGCGUGCCUAAUACAUGCAAGUCGAGCGAACAGAUAAGGAUCUUGCUCCUUUAACGUUAGCGGCGUGCGUGUGAGUAACACGUGGGUAACCUACCUAUGAGACUGGGAUAACUUCGGGAAACCGGUGCUAAUACCGGAUAACAUUUGGAACCGCAUGGUUCUAAAGUGAUAGAUGGUGUUGCUAUCACUUAUAGAUGGACCCGCGCCGUAUUAGCUAGGUGGUAAGGUAACGGCUUACCAAGGCAACGAUACGUAGCCGACCUGAGAGGGAGCUCGGCCAAACUGGAGAGCAGACACGGUGCGACCUACUAAGGGAGGAAGCAGCAGGGAAUCGCAGGCAAGGGGAGAAAGCCUCGAGGAGCAAAGCCCCGAGAGAGAUACAGGGUUUCGGCUAGUACAACCCUGUUAUUAGGGACGAACAAACGUGGAAGAAAAUGUGCACGGCUUGACGGUACCUACUCAGAAAGCGCCGGCUAACUACGUG